rnacentral:lncRNA from 1 species
GCUGUCUGCGUCUGGUUCCUUCCCGCAGCAGGGGGACUGAAGCCCCAGCCCACAGCUCUGUGGGCUUUGGGGGUGCUGGAGCCCCAUACCCCGAGAAUGGCUGAAGCCACAAGCCUCACAACCCAAAGGGGCUGGAGCCCUAUGCCCUGAGGGUCGCUGAAGCCCUGAGCCCAGCAUCCUGAGAUGGGCUGAAGCCCAAAGGCCCCAUCCCUGAGCCUAUGUUUGAAAAUAGAGAUCCCCCACCAAAUAUUUCAAUAAAUCAUAUAUUCUGAUAUUGUUUAACAGUAUGAUUAAAACUGCAAUUAAUUUUGAAAUCACCUGACAGUCCUAUUUGCUAGUGAGUGAGACUCAUAAACCUUCAUCAAACCCCUUAACUGUGGCUUAUUCCAUUUUUCUCUUCCAAGAACACUGAGGUGCCCCGGUGCCAUGCAGCGAAUUACAUCAAGGACUGGGACUUUUCUCUGCAGCCUCCUGCUUUUUAAACGAUGUGCAUGUCUCAGUUCAAACCUUCAGACUUGCAGCGUCAUUUCGCUUCUAGCCAGGCACAUAUCGAUCAAGAAUUCCCACCAGGCUCUGAACUCUGCACUUCGCAACUGAAAACUUUGAAAAAACAAACAGAUGUAGAAGCCCAGUUCUGUGUGAAUUCCGUCUGUCUGUCUCCUGUUCGGCACCGUUUCCCAUCAGCCUUUCCUCAGCAAGCACUUAGACAAUGAAGAACUGCCAAGGGACAUGGCCCCUGGCAGGAACGUGAAGGUUGACUGCUGCUUUAACAACAGCACCUGCUCAGCUGACAGGCCUAAGGAGGCAAAAGUCUCACUGGGGCAGCACGG